rnacentral:rRNA from 1 species
AGAGUUUGAUCCUGGCUCAGAUUGAACGCUGGCGGCAUGCCUUACACAUGCAAGUCGAACGGCAGCACGGGUGCUUGCACCUGGUGGCGAGUGGCGAACGGGUGAGUAAUACAUCGGAACAUGUCCUGUAGUGGGGGAUAGCCCGGCGAAAGCCGGAUUAAUACCGCAUACGAUCUACGGAUGAAAGCGGGGGACCUUCGGGCCUCGCGCUAUAGGGUUGGCCGAUGGCUGAUUAGCUAGUUGGUGGGGUAAAGGCCUACCAAGGCGACGAUCAGUAGCUGGUCUGAGAGGACGACCAGCCACACUGGGACUGAGACACGGCCCAGACUCCUACGGGAGGCAGCAGUGGGGAAUUUUGGACAAUGGGCGAAAGCCUGAUCCAGCAAUGCCGCGUGUGUGAAGAAGGCCUUCGGGUUGUAAAGCACUUUUGUCCGGAAAGAAAUCCUUGGCUCUAAUACAGUCGGGGGAUGACGGUACCGGAAGAAUAAGCACCGGCUAAC